GUGCUCGCUUUGGCAGCACGUAUACUAAAAUUGUAAUGAUACAGAGAAGUUUAGCAUGCCCCCUGUGCAAGGAUGACAUGCAAAUUCAUGAAGCUUUCCAUAUUUUU
rnacentral:snRNA from 1 species